UCCGGCGCAAAGAGAGGCCCAAGUGAGAUAGCUAGUUGGUAAGGUAACGGCUUACCACGGCGACGAUCUCUAGCUGUUCUGAGAGGAAGAUCAGCCACACUGGGACUGAGACACGGCCCAGACUCCUACGGGAGGCAGCAGUGGGGAAUAUUGCACAAUGGGGGAAACCCUGAUGCAGCCAUGCCGCGUGUGUGAAGAAGGCCUUCGGGUUGUAAAGCACUUUCAGUUGUGAGGAAAAGUUAGUAGUUAAUACCUGCUAGCCGUGACGUUAACAACAGAAGAAGCACCGGCUAACUCCGUGCCAGCAGCCGCGGUAAUACGGAGGGUGCGAGCGUUAAUCGGAAUUACUGGGCGUAAAGCGCACGCAGGCGGUUUGUUAAGCUAGAUGUGAAAGCCCCGGGCUCAACCUGGGAUGGUCAUUUAGAACUGGCAGACUAGAGUCUUGGAGAGGGGAGUGGAAUUCCAGGUGUAGCGGUGAAAUGCGUAGAUAUCUGGAGGAACAUCAGUGGCGAAGGCGACUCCCUGGCCAAAGACUGACGCUCAUGUGCGAAAGUGUGGGUAGCGAACAGGAUUAGAUACCCUGGUAGUCCACACCGUAAACGCUGUCUACUAGCUGUGUGUGUCUUUAAGACGUGCGUAGCGAAGCUAACGCGCUAAGUAGACCGCCUGGGGAGUACGGCCGCAAGGUUAAAACUCAAAUGAAUUGACGGGGGCCCGCACAAGCGGUGGAGCAUGUGGUUUAAUUCGAUGCAACGCGAAGAACCUUACCUACACUUGACAUGCUGAGAAGUUACUAGAGAUAGUUUCGUGCCUUCGGGAACUCAGACACAGGUGCU
rnacentral:rRNA from 1 species